GACGAACGCUGGCGGCGUGCUUAACACAUGCAAGUCGAACGGAAAGGUCCUGAUUUUGCUGGGUGCUCGAGUGGCGAACGGGGGAGUAAAACGUGAGUAACCCGCACUUGACAUUGGGGUAACUUCAGGGGAAUGGGGCGCAUACCGGGUAGGAGAUCCUGCUGCAUGGGGGGGGUUGGAAAGUUUCGGCGGUUGGGGAUGGAAUCGCGGGUUACCCGCUUGUUGGUGGGGUAGUGGCGUACGAAGGCUUUGACGGGUAGCCGGCCUGAGAGGGUGACCGGCCACAUUGGGACUGAGAGACGGCCCAGACGGCUACGUGAGGCAGCAGUGGGGAACAUUGCGCAAUGGGCCGACGCCUGAUGUAGCAGCGCCGCGUGCGUGAUGACGUCCUUCGGGGUGUAAACCGCUGUCGCAUGUGACGAAGCGUGCGUGACGGUAAUGGGUAAAGAAGCACCGGCUAACUACGUG
rnacentral:rRNA from 1 species